ACGGGCAUAGCUCAAUUGGUAGAGUAGCGGUCUCCAAAACCGUUGGUUGCAGGUUCGAGUCCUGCUGCCCGUGCAA
rnacentral:tRNA from 2 species